CGUGAAUAAUCUACCUCCGAGUGGGGAAUAACUUAGGGAAACCUGAGCUAAUACCGCAUAACACUUACGAGUCAAAGCAGCAAUGCGCUUGGAGAGGAGUUCGCGGCAGAUUAGUUAGUUGGCGGGGUAAUGGCCCACCAAGACGAUGAUCUGUAUCCGGCCUGAGAGGGCGCACGGACACACUGGAACUGAAACACGGUCCAGACUCCUACGGGAGGCAGCAGUGGGGAAUUUUGCGCAAUGGGGGAAACCCUGACGCAGCAACGCCGCGUGGAGGAUGAAAUCCCUUGGGAUGUAAACUCCUUUCGAUCGGGACGAUUAUGACGGUACCGGAAGAAGAAGCCCCGGCUAACUUCGUGCCAGCAGCCGCGGUAAUACGAGGGGGGCAAGCGUUGUUCGGAAUUAUUGGGCGUAAAGGGUGCGUAGGCGGUUUGAUAAGUCUUGUGUGAAAUCUCUGGGCUCAACCCAGAGUCUGCACAGGAAACUGUCGGGCUUGAGUAUGGGAGAGGUGAGUGGAAUUUCCGGUGUAGCGGUGAAAUGCGUAGAUAUCGGAAGGAACACCUGUGGCGAAAGCGGCUCACUGGACCAUUACUGACGCUGAUGCACGAAAGCUAGGGGAGCAAACAGGAUUAGAUACCCUGGUAGUCCUAGCCCU
rnacentral:rRNA from 1 species